GUGAGUUCUCUGGGUAAAAGCUCAAUGAAUGUGCCUCACUUCUCUGGAAAGCUCCCAAGUUUUAUUUCCCCUUAAAUUGCCUUCCUUUAGCCUAUUUCUAAACUUAUUUAUCCUCUCUGUGGCUCUCCUCUGAAUGUUAUCAACUUCUCAACAAUUCUCCUUACCUGGGGAUACUCUUAGUAAGGAUCUGGCUUAAGCCGAGAACACGCUUCCAAUAUCGUGUACACCCUCCAGAUGACCACUCCUUUGACAAAAGUUUUCUGAGCACCUGCUGUGUGUGAGGCCCACAGUUUAUACGUGGGACGCCUACCACAGCAUGGCUGCCAAGAAGUGCCAUGUCCGCACCCGGGAUCCGAACCAGCGAACCCCGGGCCGCCGAGAGGCGGAACGUGCGAACUUAACCGCUGCGCCACCGGGCCGGCCCCAGACUAAAACAAUUUUUUAAUGUGACAUACAAAAUGCUGAUGAGGAAGAGGAGCAACUAGAACUCUUAUGCAUUGCCAUUGGAAACGCAAAAUAG
rnacentral:lncRNA from 1 species